rnacentral:rRNA from 2 species
CAGUCGACGCGUUGGCCCAAUUGAUUGAUGGUGCUUGCACCUGAUUGAUUUUGGUCGCCAACGAGUGGCGGACGGGUGAGUAACACGUAGGUAACCUGCCCAGAAGCGGGGGACAACAUUUGGAAACAGAUGCUAAUACCGCAUAACAGCGUUGUUCGCAUGAACAACGCUUAAAAGAUGGCUUCUCGCUAUCACUUCUGGAUGGACCUGCGGUGCAUUAGCUUGUUGGUGGGGUAAUGGCCUACCAAGGCGAUGAUGCAUAGCCGAGUUGAGAGACUGAUCGGCCACAAUGGGACUGAGACACGGCCCAUACUCCUACGGGAGGCAGCAGUAGGGAAUCUUCCACAAUGGGCGCAAGCCUGAUGGAGCAACACCGCGUGAGUGAAGAAGGGUUUCGGCUCGUAAAGCUCUGUUGUUAAAGAAGAACACGUAUGAGAGUAACUGUUCAUACGUUGACGGUAUUUAACCAGAAAGUCACGGCUAACUACGUGCCAGCAGCCGCGGUAAUACGUAGGUGGCAAGCGUUAUCCGGAUUUAUUGGGCGUAAAGAGAGUGCAGGCGGUUUUCUAAGUCUGAUGUGAAAGCCUUCGGCUUAACCGGAGAAGUGCAUCGGAAACUGGAUAACUUGAGUGCAGAAGAGGGUAGUGGAACUCCAUGUGUAGCGGUGGAAUGCGUAGAUAUAUGGAAGAACACCAGUGGCGAAGGCGGCUACCUGGUCUGCAACUGACGCUGAGACUCGAAAGCAUGGGUAGCGAACAGGAUUAGAUACCCUGGUAGUCCAUGCCGUAAACGAUGAGUGCUAGGUGUUGGAGGGUUUCCGCCCUUCAGUGCCGGAGCUAACGCAUUAAGCACUCCGCCUGGGGAGUACGACCGCAAGGUUGAAACUCAAAGGAAUUGACGGGGGCCCGCACAAGCGGUGGAGCAUGUGGUUUAAUUCGAAGCUACGCGAAGAACCUUACCAGGUCUUGACAUCUUGCGCCAACCCUAGAGAUAGGGCGUUUCCUUCGGGAACGCAAUGACAGGUGGUGCAUGGUCGUCGUCAGCUCGUGUCGUGAGAUGUUGGGUUAAGUCCCGCAACGAGCGCAACCCUUGUUACUAGUUGCCAGCAUUAAGUUGGGCACUCUAGUGAGACUGCCGGUGACAAACCGGAGGAAGGUGGGGACGACGUCAGAUCAUCAUGCCCCUUAUGACCUGGGCUACACACGUGCUACAAUGGACGGUACAACGAGUCGCGAACUCGCGAGGGCAAGCAAAUCUCUUAAAACCGUUCUCAGUUCGGACUGCAGGCUGCAACUCGCCUGCACGAAGUCGGAAUCGCUAGUAAUCGCGGAUCAGCAUGCCGCGGUGAAUACGUUCCCGGGCCUUGUACACACCGCCCGUCACACCAUGAGAGUUUGUAACACCCAAAGUCGGUGGG